UACGGGGGGGGGUAAGCGUUGUUCGGAAUUACUGGGCGUAAAGGGCUCGUAGGCGGCCAACUAAGUCAUACGUGAAAUCCCUCAGCUUAACUGGGGAACUGCGUGUGAUACUGGAUGGCCUGGAUUUGGGAGAGGGAUGCGGAAUUCCAGGUGUAGCGGUGAAAUGCGUAGAUAUCUGGAGGAACACCGGUGGCGAAGGCGGCAUCCUGGACCGGCAUUGACGCUGAGGCGCGAAAAGCUAGGGGAGCAAACGGGG
rnacentral:rRNA from 1 species